GAUGAACGCUGGCGGCGUGCCUAAUACAUGCAAGUCGAGCGAACAGACGAGGAGCUUGCUCCUCUGACGUUAGCGGCGGACGGGUGAGUAACACGUGGAUAACCUACCUAUAAGACUGGGAUAACUUCGGGAAACCGGAGCUAAUACCGGAUAAUAUAUUGAACCGCAUGGUUCAAUAGUGAAAGACGGUUUUGCUGUCACUUAUAGAUGGAUCCGCGCCGCAUUAGCUAGUUGGUAAGUUAACGGCUUACCAAGGCAACGAUGCGUAGCCGACCUGAGAGGGUGAUAGGCCACACUGGAACUGAGACACGGUCCAGACUCCUACGGGAGGCAGCAGUAGGGAAUCUUCCGCAAUGGGCGAAAGCUUGACGGAGCAACGCCGCGUGAGUGAUGAAGGUCUUCGGAUCGUAAAACUCUGUUAUUAGGGAAGAACAAAUGUGUAAGUAACUAUGCACGUCUUGACGGUACCUAAUCAGAAAGCCACGGCUAACUACGUG
rnacentral:rRNA from 1 species